rnacentral:lncRNA from 1 species
NNNNNNNNNNNNNNNNNNNNNNNUAAUCUUGGGCACUAGAGCAUGCCCUGAAGAGCCAUGUCUACACGUUUCUUAAAUACCUCCAGGGAUGGUGACUCCACCACCUCCCUGGGCAGCCCAUUCCAAUGCCUGACAACCCUUUCAGUAAAGAAAUGUUUCCUAAUAUCCAACCUGAACUUCCCCUGGCGCAACUUGAACCCAUUACCCCUUGUCCUAUCGUCUGUAGCUUGGAAGAAGAGACCGACCCCUGUCUCUCUACACCCUCCUUUCAGGUACUUGUACAGAGCGAGAAGGUCUCCCCUCAGUCUCCUCUUCCCCAGACUGAACACCCCCAGCUCCCUCAGCCUCUCCUCGUAAGACUUGUGCUCCAGACCCCUCACCAGCUUCGUUGUCCUUCUCUGGACCCUCUCCAGCACCUCCAAUGCAGGAGAGCCACCAAGCUGGGGAGGGGUCUGGAGAACAAGUCCUAUGAGGAGAGGCUGAGGGAACUGGGCAUGUUUAGUUUGGAGAAGGGGAGGCUGAGGGGAGACCUCAUUGCCCUCUACAACUACCUGAAAGGAGGGUGUAGAGAGGCAGGUGUUGGCCUCUUCUCCCAAAGGACGAACGACAAGACCAGAGGAAAUGGUCUGAAGUUGGGGCAGGGGAGAUUUAGAUUAGAUAUUAGAAAGAACUACUUUACUGAGAGAGUGGUCAGGCACUGGAACAGCCUGCCCAGGGAGGUGGUGGAGUCACCAUCCCUGGAGGGAUUUAAGAAAUGUGUAGACAUGGCUCUUCAGGCAUGCCCAAGGCUAUUGGUUUGUGGUGAGGUGUUGAGUGUGGGGUUUAGUUGGUGGGUGCGGUGUUUUUGGUGGGCGUUUGGUGUGGUGUGGUGUUGUUUUUUUGUUUGUUUGUUUGUUUUUUGGUGGUUUUUUGGUUUUUGUUUUUUUUUUUUUGUGGUUGGACUCGAUGAUCUCAGAGGUCCCUUCCAACCACUAAGAUUCUGUGAUUCUGUGAUUCUGUGAUUUAUGUCCCUCUUAACGGCUCGGCCGUGG